rnacentral:lncRNA from 1 species
UAUCCUAUGCGACUGCAUAGAUGAAAUAUUUUUGGCCUUUACACUCUUGGAUACCCUGCAUGUGACCGCAUGGCAUUACCACUAUGCGGUCGCAUAGUAGUUGAGACUUCCAACAAUUUCCCUUUUGGUCCUCAAACUUGUUUUCUUCAAUUUUUUACCUCGUUCCUUCAUUCUUUUCAUUCCAUACAUCAAUAGUGGCCUCCAAUUGGUACUUGGAUCAAUCAAAUCCUUGAUUACUCCUCCAAUUCAUCUUUUGGAUAAUUUCACUUUAGUCCCUAAACUUUUGUUUUCUUUCAUGUUGGUCCUUUUUCUUUUCUUUCUUCCUUUGAUCAUUUCAUAUUAUUCCCAAGUUGAUUAUGCUCUUGAUUCACCUUUUAGUUCAACUUUUGGUUAUUUGCACUUUAGUCCUUGAACUUUUAUUUUCUUUCAUUUUGGCCCGUUUCUCUAAUCUUUUCUCUUGAAUACCGUCACAUCCAUCAAGAUACUCCUACAAAACAAGAUAAUAGAGUUAAGCCAUAUUUCAUUAUAUUUAUCGCGAAAUAGUCAUGUUUUGUGGCUUGAAUAAGUGUGUAAAAACACACUUAUCAACAACAACAAUUGAAGUGUGUGUUCUUAUUUAACAAAAACUAUUUGAUUCAAUAGAAAGGGAUUUUCCAACCUCUAUGAAUGGAAAUUAGAAGGUUGACACAAAUGAAUUUUCUUACACCUCAAUCGUUUUGCAUCUAUCCGACCAAGUACUUAGAGAAAAGGAAAAUUAGAUUUAACUAAGCUUCUUUGGAAAAAUAUAAAAAAAAAAAGUUAUACUUUGAUCAAGUCCCUACCAGACUUGUUGUAGUUAGAAAAGAUUAUUGUGUUGUAAUUUGUAAAUCGAACAAAACAAAACAGAAUAAUAACAAGAUCAGAAACAUAAGAUUUUUCAGCCUAAAGGUCCCGAGGCUCGGCGACCGCUUCAAAUGCCUAAUUCUCGUUGAGCAUUCGUUAGGAUUAAGCUCAAAAUCCACUAUGAACUGCCCAAAAAUUGGCAAAAAUGUCAGAUUACAAGAAUACACAGUUCUAACACUCUCGUAAGCACAUGAUCUUCUCAUAUCAUCCAAGAUUCACACAAAAGUUCAAUAUAACAAUAUCUAUACUCUCAAAAAUCACACAAGAAAAAUGGAAGAUUUUCAGAUUUUACAGAGAAGAUGAAAAGAACGAGAGAGGAGCAGCCAGAAAGUCAGAGAGAGUAAAACCUAGAGACACCAUUGCCUUUUAUAAGAGAGAGUCUUGCAUUUGAUCCAAUGGUCUAAAGAGUACCACUUGUCUAUCAUCUAGAAGAGGUGUCAUUUGAAACAGAAAACGCGUUUCAGUUCAAGAGCUGGUUUCCACAUUUUAGAGAUUUCUUCAUACUGGAUCAUCAAAUUGGGCCUCCAAAUUUGGACCUCACAUUUCAGUCCAUUUAAAUCAACUGGGCCACACACAAACCAUUCUUUACAAUCUCCACCUUUUGCUGCAUUUUGUGACAGUACAUAAGUGGAUUCAAGAACUUAAUCUAACUUCAUUUGCUCUCAACACUUGCAAAGAAAAGUUAGUAUUUUUCAAGAUUAAUUAAUCUCAAAGAAUCAAAAAACUUACUAAUAGGGAUUACCUUGGUUCCAGCAUCUGCAGGGUUUACCUUAGUAGGUAUUUUAACCAGUUUAAUGUCAACCCUAUAAAUAAUAUCUCUAAUGAAAUGGAAUUUAACAUCUAUAUGCUUGGAUCUAUCAUGUAAAAUAGGAUUUUUACUUUGAAUUAUUGCAUUUUGGUUAUCAGAACAUAGCUUCACCUGAUUUUCUAUAAGACCUAAUUUACCUAACAGGCCUUUCAACAAUAACCCUUCCUUCACUCUCUCAGUUGCAGCAAUGUAUUCAGCCUCCGUUGAAGACAAUGCAACCAGUUUUGAAGUUGGGACUUCCAGCUAAUGCAUGUAUCAUUAAUGACAUAAAAAUAAGCCUUUGAGGAUUCCUUGUUAUCUGGAUUUCCAACAAAAUCUGAGUCUAUAUGACCCUUUAGUUUAAGUCCAUUUUUUUCAGUUUUAAACAUUAAUCCUAAUUGACUAGUCCUUUCAGAUACUUGAUCAGAUUUUUCAUACAUUGUCAAUGUAAUUCACCUGGAUUACUCAUAAAUCUGCUUAUCACACUCAUACCAUAAACAAUAUCAUGUCUAAAGCAUACCAUAACAUACAUUACAGAUCCAAUAGCAUUAGACUAUUGAACAUUCAUUAUUCUUUUAUAUUUAUCUUCAGAUUUGGGUGAAUGAUCAAUAGAUAAUUUUGUAGCAGUAGACAAUGAUAGACUAAUAGGCUUAGCAUCAUGAAGAGAAAAUCUUUUAACUACUUUAUCAACACAAGAUUUUUGUGUUGGAAACAGCUUUCCAUUUAUUCUAUCCCUUUUUAUUUCCAUGCCCAAUAUUUUUCUAGCUGAUCCUAAAUCUUUCAUUUCAAAUUCAGAUUUCAAUUGUUCCUUAAUUCAGUUAAGUAUAACAAAAUUAUGUCCAGCAAGGAGCGCAUCAUCUACAUAUAAGAGAAGAUAAAAAGAUUCAAAUUCUCCAUCUCUCUUAAAGUAAAAAUACGGAUCAUAAUCGGAUUUCUUAAAGUCCAGCCAUUGUAUAAAAGAGUCAAAUCUCUUAUACCACUGCCUAAGGGCCUGUUUCAAGCCUUGCAAUAAUUUUUUCAAGAGAUACACAAAGUUUCCCUUUUCUUUUACCUCAAACCCUCUUGGCUGAGUCAUAUAUAUGGUUUCAUCAAAUGAACCAUACAAGAAGACAGUUUUCACAUCAAGUUGUUCUAACUCUAAGUCAAAUUGUGUAACAAUAGCAAGUAAUAUCUUGAUUGAUGUAUAUUUGACAACUGCUGAAAAGAUUUUAGUGUAGUCUAUCCCUUCUCUUUGUGUGAAGCCUUUUGCUACAACUCUUGCAUUAAACCUCUUAUUUUAGUGUAGUCUACCCUCUUUGACCUUGUAAACCCAUUUACAAUCAAUCAAUUUACAUUCUUUAGGUUUUUCAACUAAGAUCUAGGUUUCAUUUUUAUAGAGGGAGUUUAUUUCAUCUUUCAUCGCUGCAAUCCACUUAGAGGAUUCUUUGCAAGAAAUAGCUUUUUUAUAAAAAAAGUGGGUUCUAUGUCAAAUAGAUUAGGCUCAGAUUGUGCAGACACAAAAUCAGUAUACUAAUAUCUGGAAGGAGGUCUUAUUUGCCUCCUUUCUGUAUCUCUAGCAAGCUGGUAGUCUUACAGGUCAUGUACUGGCUCCAGAUGCGAUUCAUCUUCCAAUAUUUCAACAUCAGACACAUUCUGUGGUUCUAUUUCUUGAGGCUCCACUCAAACUAAGGCUGGUUAUUCAAAAUCUUCCUAUUCAGGUUUAUUUCAGUGAUAACAUAGUCAUCUUUUCCCAAAUUUUCUCUAGAUUUGUCACUAAGACAAAGGAAAUCAUCUUUAUUAAAGAUUACAGAUCUACUUAUUAUAACUUAAAAGCCCCUCGCAUCUCUUAACCACAAUCUAUAGCCUUUGACUCCUUCUCCAUAUCCUAAAAUCACACCCUUCAAUGAUCUAGGGUCCAGUUUUGAAUCUAUGUGAUGUGCAUAAGAUGCACAUCCAAAGGUUCUAAGGUAGGAAUAGUCUGGCAUUGUGCCUGGCCAGAUUUGUUCAUGAAUUUUAUUAUUUAGUGAACUGGAGAGACAUCUAUGAAUCAAAUAACAUGCAGUUUUUACUACUUUUCCACAAAAAAAAAAGUUUGGAAGGUCAGAGCUAUCAACAUUCAUCUAGUCUUUUCAAGAAUGGUUCUAUUUAGUCUCUCAGUAAAUCAAUUUUGCUGAGGAGUAUAACUCAUAGUUUUAUGUCUCAUAAUCCCUUGUUUAUUACAAAAUUGAUCAAAUUCUAAAUUGCAAAAUUCAACGCCAUUGUCAGUUCUUAAAAAUUAUAUCUUCUUACCUGUCCGAUUUUCAAUUAGCACAUUCUAUUCCUGAAAAGUUACAAAAGUAUUAGAUUUUGAUUUCAAUAAGAAAAUCCAAGUUUUCCUUGAAUAAUCAUCAGUGAUAAAAAGAUAAUAUCUGUAUCUAGAUACUCUAGGCACAGGGGCAUGUAACCAUAAAUCAGAAUGUGUGUAUUCAAGGAUACUUUGGGACUUAUACAACCCUACCUUAAAUGGCAGUCUCACUUGUUUUCCCAUCAUGCAGUGUUCACAAAAUGUUAAUUUUUGAACACUAUCUUUUCCAAAUACCUCUUGCUGUGACAAAGUUUUAAAACCUUUUUCACUCAGAUGACCAAGUCUUUUAUGCCAUAAUUUUGAUUUAUCGGGAUGUGUGACAAGAUUCACAGCGUUAUUUGGUAAAAUGAUUUCUGCUUCUAUUACAUAAAUUCCAUUGAGCUUAGGUAAACAAUCAAUAAGUUCUUGAUUUCUUGUAAUAUUUGUAGAACCAUUCUUUAUUUCAAUUUUAUAAUUUUCAUCAUCAAGAACUCCCAGGGAUAUGAGGUUUCUCCUAAGUGUUGGCACGCAUCUAGUGUGUUUCAACAAUAUGUGAUGACCAUUUCCAAGUUUCAGUAACACAUUACCAAUACCCUUAACUUGACAUGACUCAUCAUUCCCAAGUUUCAUAGACCAUCCAUCAAGACUAGAAUAGUUAGUAAGAUAGCCAAUAUUGGGUGUCAUAUGAAAGGAAAAUCCAGAGUCUAAGACACAAACCUGAUCAUAACUUUCUAUUAUUGACACAUAUGCAACUCCAAUAUUGGCUCAUGUUUCUUUAUAGUUAGGAACAAUGGCCAAUGAAGCAUUUUUUGAAUUAGCCUCUUUCUUUUGGUCAUUAGCCUUUUUAAAGCAGUUCUUAAUGAAGUGCCCAGUUUUUCCUCAAUAAAAGCACUUCUUGUUAUUUGUCUUUCCUUAAUUAGGUUUCUUGUCCUUUCCUUUGGUGUUACUCCAUUUCUUUUUGACAAAAAAAUUUAUUCUUGUUAUAAUUGGAAUGACUAAAGUUGCUCACACCUUUAACAUCUGUUCUUUGUUUUGGUGACACAACCUUCACAUUGAACACCUCUUUGUGUUCAGAUUUAAAUUCCAGUUCUCUAUUUAGAAUAGAACUGUGAAUUAUUUCUACAGUUAGUUCAUUUCUUCUAUACUCUAGAGCAUUUCUUAUCUCUUUAUACUUAUCUCCUAAAGCGUUAAGUAGACCAACUAACUUUUGCUCAUAUGAGAUUUUCUCACUACAGUUUAUUACGUUGUGUGUGAUCCUAUUAAAUCUAUCCAUAUUAUCUUCUGUAUCAAGAGUAGAAUCAAACUUAAAAUUGAAAAACUGUCUCAAAAAAAAAAUUAUUUGGUAAAGAUUUAGUGAGAUAUUGCUUUUCUAAGGCUAUACAUAAUUUUACAGCAGUCUUAGUCUCUCUUACUUUCCUAAACACAGAAUCAGAUAAGUGCAGAAACAUAGUGCUCCAGGCCAGUUCAUCUUGUUUAGUUUUCCUAUUCUCAGCUAUACCUUCUGGCCAAGAUUCAUCAAUGGCCUUAGCGCACUUUAACUGUAACAUAAGGGCCUUAAUUUUCUGGUGCCAAAAACUGAAGUCUCUUUUGCCGUCCCACAUUUGGACAUCUACCUUAGAAGUCAUGGUGUAUAGUAGUUUGAACAAUAUAUAUAAGCAGAUAUGAAAUAGCCAGCAAUAUAUCACGGUGAUAUAGUAACGAUCAAUUAUUCCAAAUUCACAGUAUUUAUAUACAAGGAUAAUAUACAAAAUUUCCAAGCACACAAUGGAGUUCAGGGUCAAAUUAAACUUAUACUAGGUAAGCUACCAAAAAGAUAAGUGCACUACAUAUACCUUCAAGAAGCACUGUCUUAGUCAAUCAGUAUUUUCAGUCCUUUCCUGAAUAAAUGAAUUUUUGAGCAUCAGUAUAAUCAACAGUAUAUACAGCAGUAUAUGUGCAAAGAAAAAUAUUUUGGAAUAUCUCAAUGUCCUCACAAUAACCGAAUAUGUAUUUAAAAAAUAAUAAUCUUGAAAAGAAUGAAGUUUCUUGAAUCGAAGCCCUAGUCCCCUCAGAUUCUAGGGUUCUCACAAGGACCCCUAGACAAAGGUAGAUUUAGGAAAGAUUCAGAGAAACUCUAUCUUUGAAAAACUAUCGGUUACCAAGAUUUUGUAAAGACGCAAUUAUUUUCAAAAGACGAUACUCAGAAACACCAAGAACCCAACCAUGUAUUAGAAGAACCACUUAAAAAAUUUCAAGAAUCAAAAGGCAGAAUAAUAGAUCUCCACAGAUCUAAGUGUUCGAUCAAAAAACCCAGAAGCUCAAAACACAACACAAAUCAGAAUUUCUAAAGCUCUAAUACUACUGUUGUAAUUAGAAAAGAUAUUUGUGUUGUAAUUUGUAAAUCGAACACAACAAAAUAGAUUAAUAACAAGAUCAGAAACACAAGAUUUUUCGGCCCAAAGGCCCCGAGGUUCGGCGAUAGUUUCAAACACCUAAUCCUCGUUGACUAUCCGUUAGGAUUAAGCUCAAAAUCCACAAUGAACUGCCCAAAAAAAAAGCAAAAAUGUCAUAUUACAAGAACACAUAGUUCUAACACUCUCGCAAGCACAAGAUCUUCUCACAUCAUCUAGAACUCACACAAGAGUUCACUAUAACACCAUCUAUACUCUCAAAAAUCACACAAGAAAAAUGAGAGGUUUUCAGAUUCUACAAAGAAGAGGAAAAGAACGAG